rnacentral:lncRNA from 1 species
CAAUCACAGUUUUGUGUGAUCCAUCAAAAGCUUUCACUACCACUCCACUCUGCCUCAUGGGAGGCCCCUAAUAUGAAAGUUUGGCAAGAGUGGAUUUUGGAAAUGCAUUGAGUGAUGACUCUGUGUCCACCAACACAUUGGACAGGGCAUCAUCUUUACAAUUCAUAGAAAUAUGUAAAGCCAAAUUGUGGUCUUUUUCCUCCUCGGGAAGAUCAUCAUCACAGAAACUCAAAU